rnacentral:rRNA from 1 species
UACGAAGGGGGCUAGCGUUGUUCGGAAUCACUGGGCGUAAAGGGCUCGUAGGCGGCCAACUAAGUCAGACGUGAAAUCCCUCAGCUUAACUGGGGAACUGCGUCUGAUACUGGAUGGCUUGGAUUCGGGAGAGGAAUGCGGAAUUCCAGGUGUAGCGGUGAAAUGCGUAGAUAUCUGGAGGAACACCGGUGGCGAAGGCGGCAUUCUGGACCGAUAUUGACGCUGAGGAGCGAAAGCCAGGGGAGCAAACGGGG